UUACUUUGAACAAAUCAGAGUGCUCAAGACAGGCUCAACGCCUGAAUGCUCGUGCAUGGAAUAAUGGAAGAGGGCCACGGUCCGAUUUCGUUGGUUUUGCGGCCGAGGCAAUGAUCAAUAGGGGCGGACGGGGGCAUUCGUACUUCUGCGUGAGAGGUGAAAUUUUUGGACCGCAGGAAGACGCACGACAGCGAAGGCAAUUGCCAAGCACGUCCCCGUUAAUCAAGAACGAAAGUCAGAGGAUCGAAGGCGAUUAGAUACCGCCCUAGUUCUGACCGUAAACGAUGCCAACUAGCGAUCCGCCGGCGAGCGCAAGUUCUCGGUGGGGAGCUUCCCGGAAACGAAAGUCUUCCGGUUCCGGGGGAAGUAUGGUUGCAAAGCUGAAACUUAAAGGAAUUGACGGAAGGGCACCACCAGGAGUGGAGCCUGCGGCUUAAUUUGACUCAACACGGGGAACCUCACCCGGGCAGGACACCGUCGGGAUUGACAGACAGCAGCUCUUUCAUGAUUCGGUGAGUGGUGGUGCAUGGCCGUUCUUAGUUCGUGGAGUGAUCAGUCAGGUUAAUUCCGGUAACGAGCGAGACUCCAGCCUACUAGUUGGGAGCCGUGUCUGCGGGCGCGGUGACUUCUUAGAGGGAUACACGGCGAGCAAUAGCCGAAAGAGAAGGAGCGAUAACAGGUCUGUGAUGCCCCUAGAUGCCCGGGGCUGCACGCGCGCUACACUGGCGAAGGCAACGUGCUUGUCCUGGUCCGAGA
rnacentral:rRNA from 1 species